rnacentral:rRNA from 1 species
UACGUAGGGGUGCGAGCGUUUAAUCGGAAUUACUGGGCGUAAAGCGUGCGCAGGCGGUUCGUCGUGUCCGAUGUGAAAGCCCCGGGCUCAACCUGGGAAUGGCAUUGGAAACUGGCGGACUCGAGUGUGGCAGAGGGGGGUGGAAUUCCGCGUGUAGCAGUGAAAUGCGUAGAGAUGCGGAGGAACACCGAUGGCGAAGGCAGCCCCCCUGGGGCUAACACUGACGCUCAGG